AGUGGGGAAUUUUGCCCAUGGGGGCAAGCCUGAUGCAGCCAUGCCGGGGGUGUGAAGAAGCCCUUCGGGUUGUAAAGCACUUUCAGUCGUGAGGAAGAUGGUGUCGUUAAUAGCGGCGUUGUUUGACGUUAGCGACAGAAGAAGCACCGGCUAACUCCGUGCCAGCAGCCGCGGUAAUACGGAGGGUGCGAGCGUUAAUCGGAAUUACUGGGCGUAAAGCGCAUGCAGGUGGUUUGUUAAGUCAGAUGUGAAAGCCCGGGGCUCAACCUCGGAAUAGCAUUUGAAACUGGCAGACUAGAGUACUGUAGAGGGGGGUAGAAUUUCAGGUGUAGCGGUGAAAUGCGUAGAGAUCUGAAGGAAUACCGGUGGCGAAGGCGGCCCCCUGGACAGAUACUGACACUCAGAUGCGAAAGCGUGGGGAGCAAACAGGAUUAGAUACCCUGGUAGUCCACGCCGUAAACGAUGUCUACUUGGAGGUUGUGGCCUUGAGCCGUGGCUUUCGGAGCUAACGCGUUAAGUAGACCGCCUGGGGAGUACGGUCGCAAGAUUAAAACUCAAAUGAAUUGACGGGGGCCCGCACAAGCGGUGGAGCAUGUGGUUUAAUUCGAUGCAACGCGAAGAACCUUACCUACUCUUGACAUCCAGAGAACUUUCCAGAGAUGGAUUGGUGCCUUCGGGAACUCUGAGACAGGUGCUGCAUGGCUGUCGUCAGCUCGUGUUGUGAAAUGUUGGGUUAAGUCCCGCAACGAGCGCAACCCUUAUCCUUGUUUGCCAGCGAGUAAUGUCGGGAACUCCAGGGAGACUGCCGGUGAUAAACCGGAGGAAGGUGGGGACGACGUCAAGUCAUCAUGGCCCUUACGAGUAGGGCUACACACGUGCUACAAUGGCGCAUACAGAGGGCGGCCAACUUGCGAAAGUGAGCGAAUCCCAAAAAGUGCGUCGUAGUCCGGAUUGGAGUCUGCAACUCGACUCCAUGAAGUCGGAAUCGCUAGUAAUCGUGGAUCAGAAUGCCACGGUGAAUACGUUCCCGGGCCUUGUACACACCGCCCGUCACACCAUGGGAGUGGGCUGCAAAAGAAGUAGGUAGUUUA
rnacentral:rRNA from 1 species